rnacentral:rRNA from 1 species
UGCUAUCGGGGUUCGACUAAGCCAUGCGAGUCAAAUGUUCUUCGUGAACAUGGCGAACUGCUCAGUAACACGUGGACAAUCUACCCUUAGGACCGGGAUAACCCCGGGAAACUGGGGAUAAUACCGGAUAGAUCAUAGACGCUGGAAUGCCCUAUGAUCCAAAGCUCCGGCGCCUAAGGAUGGGUCUGCGGUCUAUCAGGUUGUAGUGGGUGUAACGUACCUACUAGCCGACGACGGAUACGGGUUGUGAGAGCAAGAGCCCGGAGAUGGAUUCUGAGACACGAAUCCAGGCCCUACGGGGUGCAGCAGGCGCGAACACUUUACAAUGCGGGAAACCGCGAUAAGGGAACCCCGAGUGCCAGCACCAAGUGUUGGCUGUCCAGAUGAUUAAUUCUCAUCUGAUAGCAAGGGCCGGGCAAGACCGGUGCCAGCCGCCGCGGUAACACCGGCGGCCCGAGUGGUAACCGUUUUUAUUGGGCCUAAAGGGUCCGUAGCCGGUCUGAUAAGUCCUUUGGGAAAUCUGGCAGCUUAACUGUCAGGCUUCCAAGGGAUACUGUCAGGCUUGGGACCGGGAGAGGUAAGGGGUACUCCAGGGGUAGGAGUGAAAUCUUGUAAUCCCUGGGGGACCAUCUGUGGCGAAGGCGCCUUACCAGAACGGGUCCGACGGUGAGGGACGAAAGCUAGGGGAGCAAACCGGAUUAGAUACCCGGGUAGUCCUAGCUGUAAACGAUGCUCGCUAGGUGUCA